UGCGCAGGCGGCCAGGUGUGUGGGGCGUGAAAGCCCGGGGCUCAACCCCGGAAUUGCACCUCAAACUACAUGGCUAGAGUAUUGGAGAGGGUAACGGAAUUCACGGUGUAGCAGUGAAAUGCGUAGAUAUCGUGAGGAACACCAGAGGCGAAGGCGGUUACCUGGACAAUUACUGACGCUCAGGCACGAAAGCGUGGGUAGCAAAAGGGAUUAGAUACCCCUGUAGUCCACGCCCUAAACGGUGCACACUAGGUCUUGGCGGAUUCGACCCCCCCAGGGCCCAAGCUAACGCGUUAAGUGUGCCGCCUGAGGACUACGGCCGCAAGGCUAAA
rnacentral:rRNA from 1 species